CUGCAAGAAUUGCUUCCAAUGGCCUGCUCCAGGUGUCAGCGCCUCCUAGCACACUAACCUUGCAAACAUCUAGCUGUGGUGAGUUCCUCUGUCUGCUGUUCCUCAACAGCUCAUACAAGAGGAUUCAACACCCCGCCAGCCCCCAAUACAAAUGCCUGUUCUCUGAAUCACCGUGUGGGUCCAGGAGAGAGUGGCUCGCACUCUAGAACAAGGCCCAAAAGCAGCUUCCCCCUUGCCAUCCCUAGGGUGGCUCUGCCUCCAGGUGGAGCAUGCCAGAGAGAGGAGGAGCUUUUGCAAUCCAGCCCCACAACUGCAUUUACCGGGGGCCGUGGGAAAGCAUGGAGACUGCAGGCAGAUUGCUCUACAGAGUCUCACUGCUUCUUCUGUGGCUCCAGCCCGGGCUAGGGAGGACUCGAGCGGUGCAGGCAGCUCCCCCAGGUUUCAUAGAGAGCAGCUGCCCUUCCAGGAUCUUUUGGGUGAAACUGGACAAACACUUCCUGCAGGGAAAGUUCUUCAGUCUGGAGCUCAUGG